AUGGCCGGCGCCAUGGCCGAUCGGAGCAAGAAGCCUUACGUGGUGGCAGUAGCAAUCCAGGCCAUCUACACGGGCCUCUUCGUCGUGUCUAAGGCCGCCUUCGACAGCGGCAUCAACACCUACGUCUUCAUCUUCUACCGGCUCGCCGCCGCCACCGCACUCCUCAUCCCAAUCGCGCUUAUCGACUCCACCUGCCGCCGGAGCCGGUCAACCACCGCAACACCUGCACCAGCAUUAUUAUGCCGGCUGCUCUUCAAGCUCUUCCUAUACGCCUUACUCGGGAACACCUUCACCCUCAACAUGUACAACGUGAGCCUGAAGCAGACCUCAGCGACGGUUGGGUCGGCGGCCACCAACUCCAUGCCCGUCGCCACCUUCCUCCUUGCGGUGCUGCUGCGGAUGGAGGCGGUCAAGCUCAGGAGCCGCUCUGGUUUAGGCAAGCUCGCCGGUGUCGUUCUUUGCCUCGCCGGAGUGUUGGUCAUCGCCUUCUACACUGGCCCGUCCAUACGCCCCCUCGCACACAACCCCGUCUUCGCUCAGAAGCCGAACAAUGUCAGCAGUGGCGCCGAGUGGAUCAAAGGCACCUUCCUUCUCAUCCUCGCAUGUGCAACCUGGUCUCUCUGGAUUGUCCUGCAGGUUCCAUUGCUUAAAGAAUAUCCGAAGAAGCUGAUGGCCACAGCACUGCAAUGCCUGUUUGGUGCACUCCAGUCCUUUGUUGUGGCAGUGGUGGUUGAGAGGGACUUCACCAAAUGGAAGCUUGGGCUGGACAUUGGCCUCCUUGCAGUCCUCUACUCGGCCUUCUUGGGAACGGGUGCGUUAAUGUACCUACAGGCAUGGUGUGCCGAGAUGAGAGGGCCGGUGUUCGUCGCGAUGUGGAGUCCAUUGGCACUGAUUUUCACUAUCCUUUGUUCGUCAUUCUUUCUUGGGGAAGCUGUCCACUUCGGGAGUAUUUUUGGAGGAAUUCUACUAGUUGGUGGCCUAUACAGUGUGCUAUGGGGUAAAAGCAAGGAAAAGGAAAAUAACAUAACAUCAGUGGUGCCAGAGGAAAGUCAAGUUCAAGGAGACAGAGUGGCAAUACAGGAGAAACAUGAAGAGGGGGAACUAACAUCACAAGUGUAA
rnacentral:rRNA from 1 species